AACAAAAUGACUGAUUUUAAGUAAUAAAUUGUAAAUUUAUUUAAGGACCCCCUCCUUUUGUUA
rnacentral:tRNA from 1 species